UGGGCGGCGGGAGAACGCCGGGGUGUCCGGGGGCUGUGCAGGGCCCUGCUGCCAGGCCUCCGCCGCUGUGGGGCUGUUUGUGUGUCCUCUUGAACGUUAAGGUGGUGCGAGGUCAACGGGUCUAGCUGGGCCACCACGGCACCACAAACGUGCGCUCUGGGUGCUCGGCGCGGCCAGCCUGGCUCUCCGUCUUUCCAGGGCCGUGAUGCCUCCAGGUCUCACCCGACAGGGCUGCGCGGGUAGAAGUGAGCCGCGGCGGCCCGGGAUGUCUGCGCUGUGCUCGAGUGCCAAGGUAGCUCAGGUAGAAAGCUGCAAACCGCAGGAAUUAAUCUUUGCGGACAAAGGCUUCCCUGCUAAGGACUGGUCUGGAUUCGAGGAUGCACUUGAAGCUGCAGGCUGUAUGUGAGCAGAGGCACUUCCAGGGCAGAAGAACAGGCAUCUUCAUGGAAACAGUGCCUUUUAAGUGAAUCCUUGCAGCAGGCUGGCAAGUUUGUUUGUAGAAGGGAUUGCUUGUGAUGGGGAUUCUCCAGCCAGGACCUCUGAACAGACCAAUGACAAGCUGCCCUAUUUCACAUCACAAGGGUAGGACAGCUAGUUCCUUCUUCAGAUCUUCUCCCUGCUGUGACUGUAGCCCUACCUCCUGCAUGUCC
rnacentral:lncRNA from 1 species